rnacentral:ncRNA from 1 species
AGUUAACCAAGGCAAACUAGUGGAAACGCUAGGACGCAAAAUUACGGGUCUACGGGCACAGGUGCCUAUGAUCGCCGGAUUGCCACU